rnacentral:lncRNA from 1 species
GCCAUCUACAAGAUGGUGUCCUCCAUGAUGAAGAUGCCUAAGGACGAGUCCACGCCCUAGAAGCGAACAGACAAGAUCUUCAGGAAGAUGAACACAAACAAUGAAGGUGAGCAAGCUGGAACCCCUACACGGUGUUGCAACUCACCCAGCAACUCACCACAGACUAAAUAUCAAUGGAUGUCAGUGCCGCAGACCCUCUUGGUCCCUUAUCUGCAUAGAAUGAGUCUCUGAUACAGAUCCCAAGACCACCAGCUCCGGGAAAGCUACCACUCACAAUGGGAUGGGCCCUUCACUAUCAAUCAUUAAUUAAAAAACUGCAUUACAGAUGGAGGCAUUUUCUCAACGGAGAACAAGCCGGCUGCCUAUGACUGCUUCCUUGCCAUUUGACAUCUGUGAGUAAAGGAUUCUGAGAAUUCUGAUGUCACCUCUGUAAUGCUCUGUCAGGACAGCCCCUGCUCUCAG